rnacentral:rRNA from 1 species
AGAGUUUGAUCCUGGCUCAGAAUCAACGCUGGCGGCGUGCCUCAGACAUGCAAGUCGAACGCGAAAGUCCCCUUCGGGGGGCAAGUAGAGUGGCGCACGGGUGAAUAACACGUAGGUAAUCUACCUUUGGAUUGGGAAUAACAACCGGAAACGGUUGCUAAUACCGAAUAAUGCAGCGGCACCUAAUGGUGACAGUUGUUAAAGCGGGGGAUCGCAAGACCUCGCGUCUGAAGAGGAGCCUGCGGCAGAUUAGCUAGUUGGUAAGGUAACGGCUUACCAAGGCGAUGAUCUGUAGCCGGCCUGAGAGGGCGGUCGGCCACACUGACACUGACAUACGGGUCAGACUCCUACGGGAGGCAGCAGUCGGGAAUUUUGGGCAAUGGGCGAAAGCCUGACCCAGCAACGCCGCGUGAAGGAUGAAAUCCUUCGGGAUGUAAACUUCGCAAGAACGGGAAGAAUAAGUAAGAGUUAAUAUCUCUUACGAUGCACGGUACUGUUUGUAAGCUCCGGCUAACUCCGUGCCAGCAGCCGCGGUA